GUCCUGUCAUGCCCUUCCUCUCUUUGAUGUUAAGUAUCAUCAUCCCCUUUGCCAUGGCCAUAAACCCAGUGCCACUGUUCACCCUGCUUAUUAUGUUGCCAUGACUACUGGGUCAAGCAUUCUGUAGGUCAACAUAGCAACCUGCUCUACAUGGUGCUCAGUGGUCAUAUCAUACCUAGGCCCCAACACCUCUUUACUCACAGAGGAACUCAAGUGCUGGGAGGACAAGGAAGUCGCCAUCCAGAUGACCGUCAGCCAUAGAUAAGAAACAGAGAAGAUUUCAACCUUGCCAACCAGUUAUAGUCUUAGCCAUUAGCCUAUGCCACAGGAAGGGCAAGGGUUUGGUUUGUGUUGUUGUUGUUGUUUUUCCUGUAUUUGCAGCUCCUGCCUGAACCCACCAACCUACCCACUCACCCCUUUCCAGUGUGAGGGACUUUAGUCUAAAAGCCAGGCCACAAAGGACACACUGGGGAGGAAGAUGGCGCUGUAUUUCAAGCCAACACAGGGGCCUAUGGGUCUGGCCUGGCUACACCCUCAUUCCUCUCCUGCAGGUGGUGGUGAGAGGAGCUCUCAAAGUGUGAUUUCCACAGCAACUGCAUUUCCCUUCAGCUGUAAGACCUUCGGGCUCUUCUUCAGGCCCAGGCUCCACAAUGCUAAAUGUCAAAAGAACCAAUAACAGCUGGGAAGAUGCGUGUGGUUAUUGCUGGUCAGGAGAGGUUAAGGUGAUGUUCAAAGCAGGGGUUUUGUGAGCUGUCCCUUUCCUGGCUGGGUACAAAAGCUUCUCCUUGAGAUGCUUUUCUUCUUACAGUUUAGGUUUUCCCAUUUUACAAGUGAAAAAUAGUAGUUUCUGUGAUGUCAGGCACCGCAUGUAAUUUUCAUGAGAAUGUUAUAGGAAUAGAAGGAAGUGAGAGAAAAGGAAGAGGAGGAGGAUGUAGAGGAAAAGGAAGAGGAGGAGGGAGAAAAGGAGGAUGAGUUAGAGGAAGAGGGGAGAGAAGAAGAGGAGGUAGAGGAGGCAGGAGAUGAGGAGGGAGAGGAAAGGGUAGAGGAAGAGGAGGGAGAAGAGGAGGGGAGCAGGUGGGAGAAGAAAAUGAAGAGAUAGAAGAAGAGGAGAUAGAAGAAGAGGAGAAAGAGGAAGAAGAGGGAGAAAGAAGAGCAAGAGGAGGAGGAGAAGGAGGAAGAAAAAAAGCAGGAGGACAAAAAGGAGGACUGUCUCCUGUCUCCUGUUGUGUCAAGCAAGGACUUGGGUGGUUUGGGUUUCCUUUUGUCUUCUUCUUUCCAUCCCUUCUAGAUCCAUGACCCCAACCGCCACUCUGUUGAGCCUUAGCAGUGUCCUCUUCUGCCCUGCUUGGCUCUGGUCACUGUCGCUAGGGGCCACUCCUUCCAGGCACAUGGAUGAUUAAGCCUAAAUCCCCUCCCGGCCGUGCCCUGGGCUGUCCAUGCUUGUAAUCGGUCGCCCUCAGGUCUUGUUUUGCGCGUGCUUUCUGCUUUCUGCUUUCUGUAGUGAAACAAGUGUAUUUCUCCGAGUGGCACUUUUCAAGGCCUUUCCUUUGGAGCACCCACUGCCAAGUGUCUCCCCAUGAUUUCCAAAGCUGUACACAAAAUGGUAACUUAAAUGAACUCGGAAGCCCAAGGGAAAGUAGGCAUUUGCUUUUCUAAUUUCCCGAUUCUACCUUUGGCUACCUCCACCAGGCCACAUCCUAAGAAACUCCAGCUCUGACUACUUCCAGUCUUCCACAAAGGUCAUUCCUUUGCUACGAGAGUUGCAUCUAGAGAGGACCCAGUUGGAAAGAAAGGUGGAGAGUGGAGAUAAGCCAAGGCUUGCCCAACCCAAGAUCUUUGUGCAUGAUGUAACACUUCAGACCCCACCUACCUCCCUGGUCUCAGAUUCCAUGAGGGCUUUCCCAUGCUUUUGCUGAGCUGUGCGCCCUGGUCAGAGGGCCCUUCUAAACCUCGUAAUGGUUGUUAUGACAGCAUGUUGUCACAGUCCUCCAGCCUAGAAGCUUGUGACAGUGUCCUGUUGGGAGCUCAUGACUACAGGAACAGUGUCCUGUUUACCUUCCACUUGGGACCUGCUGCCCAAGGUCAUCUUUGAGAUCUCCUCCAGCAUGCCUCCCCCUCGAGAGCCCUUCUGAAGGAGUAUUUCCCUUGACUACUGUGAGCAUCUUCAAGCCUCCCAGUCUGCACGAGUCUUGAUAUGUGGGUCACAGACAGGUCUCCACUGGAUGGGACGGCUUCCUCAGUGUUCACUGCUUUGACGGCCUUCGUGGUUCUGAGGUGUAACAUUCAGAUGUUUGGGGACAUACACAGAGUUUUUCUCUCAGGAUUAGGCAUCUGUGCUGGCUCGGCCAUCAUUUGGCAGAAUCCCACACCAGAGGUUCGUUUCCAUGUUUGAGUCACGUUGGAUGAAAAGGCUCCAGCUUUAACCAGGAUCUGCACCAUCAAGUUCUAUGGAAAAGGCAUGAUCUUAACACAAGGCCCCACAGCAGGGUGAAGGACAAGCCCUGUCCAUGCCACCCUGAUGGAGGAGCUCAGGGUGUGUGGACUCUGCAAGCCUGUGCAACCGAGAUGUAUCAACCCUGUCGAACCGAGAUGUAUCACACAAGAGAAUACAAGGAACAUCCUUCCCUGUGCAUUCACUCCUCUGGUUCUGUUCAUUUCCCUUCCUUGUAGCCCAAGCCUUCCCCAGCCUUUACCUCACUUACUCCACCAACCUAGAGCAACACUGACAGUUACCUCACAGCUCCAGACUCUGCACCCCUGUUAGCCCUGUGGCAACCUUGACCCCUGCCUUCCUCACAGAGUUAGCUCAUACUCUACUGACACCAUAAGAGUAGGCAUCCUUGUGGUACAGAAAACAGACAUACCCAUUUUAUUUCUUCCUCUUUUUAAUCAAUCAAUCAAUCAAUCAAUUUUAUGAGAUGCAGUAGACAAGGCUUCAUAUAUUCUGUGCUGGCUUGGAACUCGUGAUGUAACAGCCUAGGAUAACUUUGAAUUUCUGAUCUGAUCCUCCUGCCUCCACCUCCGGAGUGCCAGGGUUUCAGAUAUGUGCCACCGUGCCUGGGGAUUGAAACCAAAGCUUCCUGCCUGUUAGUCAAGCACUCUACGAACUGAGCCACAUCCUCACCCCGACACAUCCCUUCCCUCUCUCCAGGGGAGAACUCAGAUCAUCAAGAUAUUUACACACGGGAGAAAAGCUCGAGAUUACAAAAAUAUACCCAACCUUCUAAAACCAUAGCAACACAGGAGGCGAGAGCCUGCAAAUUAAAGUGCAUCUGAAGGAUGGAUACGGACUUGGGGUUUGAAAAAAAUGACAUUUCAAAGUUAAACAAGAGGAAAUAGAACCUUGCUUUGACUUUCACCUGUACCACAGCCCAGUUCAGAGCCCCUCUAAGCUCAGAGCCCAGUCUAAAUAACAAUUAAAUGAAUGAAAUAAGAUAUAAUUUAAAUCAAUGCACACCUGCAGAGAUCAAAGGACAGAGGUCAUAGGACAGCUUACAGGAGUUGGUUCUUCCCUUCCAGGGCUGGGAAGCAAGUAUCUACCUGCUGACCUAUCUUGCUAGCCCAACACCCAAUCCUUAAUAACACUGCCAAUUGCAUUAGGGGGUUGCAAUUUCAGAAGGCGUUUUCUAGCUGACUCCAACUGGUCAUAGCCUGAACCCCUGGCUACCCCUUUCCCCUCUUGCCCUUGAUCUCUGAUGUCUGAUACUAGCAUAUGACUCAUACCUGGCCCAGCCCUCCGGGAAUGGCCAGACUUGAUUCUGUACCUUCUGCUGCAUUCAUACUCUUUGCCAUGAGACUUUAUAUACUGCAUCACAACCAUGGAUGCAGAAUUCGUUCCUGCCCUUUAACCUUGCAUCUAGCCAUGGAUGCUACAGACAGUAUAUCGAGGGCUUUGGGUUGUACUUGUGUGCACCACGCAUGACUCUCACGCCCAUGCCAUUACCCCAACAAAAGGAACCCCGAGCUGCCAAACUGGUCCUAAGAGAAGCCCCAUGUGUGGACCUCAGAGCCCGGGCCAGCUGAUCCAGGUUAAACCCUUGCUGGCCUACAAUGAGUGAAAAGGCUCAGGUAUGUUCUGCUGAGGCUUGGAGCCACCCAGCAGACAGCGCUGCUCACUUCAGCUUCUGGAAACCUAUGCAGGCAAGGUUCUGGGAGGAGGAAUCCUCAAGUGAGAUCCUGUUUCUCCCUCAGGAGUCUCGCCAGUGAUGUCAGAGUCGCCAUGACUCACCUCUUCCCCAAAGCAUCAGAGUAUUAAAAAUAAUAGUCAUUAGUACUCACCUGGGCUUUAUGAGCAGCAGGUAGCUGCAACAUUCGACCUGUUUAGGAGGUGGAAGGGCUGGGAUGAGGUUCAUUUGGCAAGGAGAAAAUAAUAAAUUCAGUCAAGGGUGGUGGUGAUUCACUGGGAUUGGGCCAGGAGGCAGCCAUCUGAAGGGAGUUUAAAGUCAUUCCUGAUGCCCUGGGAGGUAACACCCAUGCACGUCUGAAUUUUUAGAAUGUCUUUAUUGUCAAGCAAGUACAGACUAAUUGUCGAAGGUUGGAAUUUAGAAAGAAUUACAGGAAGCAUAAAAGGGCCCCCAUAAUCUAUCUAGUAGAAUUUUUUGUUUGUUUUGAGAUAGUGUCUCCCUGUAGCCCAGGCUACAUGGUUUUGAACUCACGGCAUCAGGUUUCCAGGUGCUGGGAUGACAGGCAUGCACUACACCUGGCUUCUUAGUGGUGUUUUUAUUCUUACGGGGCCUCAUGUAGCCCAGGACAGCUUCAGAUUUGCUUCUGUAUAUAAAGAUGACCUUGAACCUCUGCUCCUCCUGCUUCCACCUCCCAGGGCUGGCAUUGCAGGCACCACCAUGCUCAGUUCUGCAGUUCUUGCUGUGUGUGGUGGAAAGGCACUCCACCCAUGGAGAUACAUCCCCCGCCCUCUUUCUCUUUCUUUUAACAUAUGUAUAUUUCUAAUACAUGUUCGACUAGAAACAUGGUAUCUGUGUGAGGGUUACUCAACAGUUUAUAAAAGAAUUUCCAAUCUGAAGAUGGAGAGAUGGCUUAAAGGUUCACAGAGGACCAGGGCUUGAUUCCCGCAAGGCAACUCCCAACCAUCUUGAGCUGCAGAGGACGCAGUGCCCUCCACUGACCUUGGUGGGCAUGCAUGCAUGCAUGCAGUGUACAGAUACACACAAAGGCAAAGUACUUGUUCAUACCCAUUAAGUCAGAUAAAUAAAUCUUUUUUAAAAGGA